GACGAACGCUGGCGGCGUGCCUAAUACAUGCAAGUUGAGCGCUGAAGGUUGGUACUUGUACCAACUGGAUGAGCAGCGAACGGGUGAGUAGCGCGUGGGGAAUCUGCCUUUGAGCGGGGGACAACAUUUGGAAACGAAUGCUAAUACCGCAUAAAAACUUUAAACACAAGUUUUAAGUUUGAAAGAUGCAAUUGCAUCACUCAAAGAUGAUCCCGCGUUGUAUUAGCUAGUUGGUGAGGUAAAGGCUCACCAAGGCGAUGAUACAUAGCCGACCUGAGAGGGUGAUCGGCCACAUUGGGACUGAGACACGGCCCAAACUCCUACGGGAGGCAGCAGGAGGGAAUCUUCGGCAAUGGACGAAAGUCUGACCGAGCAACGCCGCGUGAGUGAAGAAGGGUUUCGGAUCGUAAAACUCUGUUGGUAGAGAAGAACGUUGGUGAGAGUGGAAAGCUCAGCAAGUGACGGUAACUACCCAGAAAGGGACGGCUAACUACGUG
rnacentral:rRNA from 1 species